rnacentral:rRNA from 1 species
GUAGGGUGCGAGCGUUAAUCGGAAUUACUGGGCGUAAAGCGUGCGCAGGCGGUUGUGUAAGACAGGUGUGAAAUCCCCGGGCUUAACCUGGGAAUGGCGCUUGUGACUGCACGGCUAGAGUACGGCAGAGGGGGGUGGAAUUCCACGUGUAGCAGUGAAAUGCGUAGAGAUGUGGAGGAACACCGAUGGCGAAGGCAGCCCCCUGGGCCGAUACUGACGCUCAUGCACGAAAGCGUGGGGAGCAAAC